rnacentral:lncRNA from 1 species
GAAAAAAUGAUCUAAGACCUGUCUGUCUGGUAUAAGUUUCUCUUAGGACAAAAAUCAGAAUGACCAUAUUAUCACACAACCUGAAGGAAAAAAACAAGUUAUUUGAAGAGUGACAGUUGGGCCUUGUGCCAUCCACCAGGUGAGAUCACAGCAUUUCUCUCCUCUGGAGGACACAGCAUCAAAGUGCCAUCUUGGAAGCAGAGACCAGCCCUCACCAGACAACCAAACCUCCUGAAUCCUUGAUCUUGAACUUCUCAGCCUCCAGAACUGUGAGAAAAUAAAUGGUUGUUCUUUAUAAAUUACCCAGUCUCAGUUAUUUUGUUAUACCUGCACAAAAUGAACUAAGACAGAAAUUAGUCUUAGCAUACUUGAGAGAAGUGAAGAGGGAGUUCAGCUCUGGUGUGGACCUAAGUUUUCGUGGAGGGUGCUAGAGGUCACUAGUGCUGGCUUUGGGAAGCACACUUUGUUCAGGGCAUGGGACACAUGCCUAUCAAUCCAGGCUUUCCCAAAGGCUCUUGAUUAUGAGUUCUGUCCUCAUAGUAGAUAGGAGACACUGCAGACAUUCACAUGUGGGAAGACUGAUGGGGAGCUCCAGCAUUCAGAUUUCCAUCAAACCACACAUCCUCAGCCUCAACGUGGUAUGAACCAGCCCAUGGCCAACACACCACUGUUUC